rnacentral:rRNA from 1 species
GACGUAGGGGGCCAGCGUUGUUCGGAAUUACUGGGUGUAAAGGGUUCGUAGGCGGUGUGGCAAGUUGGGAGUGAAAUCUCAGGGCUUAACCCUGAGGCUGCUCCCGAAACUGCCGUGCUAGAGUGCGAGAGAGGCGAGUGGAAUUGCAGGUGUAGCGGUGAAAUGCGUAGAUAUCUGCAGGAACACCCGAGGCGAAAGCGGCUCGCUGGAUCGCAACUGACGCUGAGGGACGAAAGCUAGGGGAGCAAACAGG